rnacentral:rRNA from 1 species
UUAAGUUAAUAAGGGCGCACGGUGGAUGCCUUGGCACUAGGAGCCGACGAAGGACGUGACAAACGACGAUAUGCCUUGGGUAGCUGUAAGUAAGCGAUGAUCCAGGGAUUUCCGAAUGGGGGAACCCAACAGGUAAUACCUGUUACCUACAUCUGUUAAGGAUGUGAGGAGGAAGACGCAGUGAACUGAAACAUCUAAGUAGCUGCAGGAAGAGAAAGCAAAAGCGAUUGCCUUAGUAGCGGCGAGCGAAACGGCAGAAGGGCAAACCGAAGAGUUUACUCUUCGGGGUUGUAGGACUGCAAUGUGGACUCAAAGAUUAUAGAAGAAUGAUUUGGGAAGAUCAGCCAAAGAGAGUAAUAGCCUCGUAUUUAAAAUAGUCUUUGUACUUAGCAGUAUCCUGAGUACGGCGGGACACGUGAAAUCCCGUCGGAAUCUGGGAGGACCAUCUCCCAACCCUAAAUACUCCCUAGUGACCGAUAGUGAACCAGUACCGUGAGGGAAAGGUGAAAAGCACCCCGGGAGGGGAGUGAAAUAGAACCUGAAACCGUGUGCCUACAACAAGUUCGAGCCCGUUAAUGGGUGAGAGCGUGCCUUUUGUAGAAUGAACCGGCGAGUUACGUUAUGAUGCGAGGUUAAGUUGAAGAGACGGAGCCGUAGGGAAACCGAGUCUGAAUAGGGCGCCUUAGUAUCAUGACGUAGACCCGAAACCAUGUGACCUACCCAUGAGCAGGUUGAAGGUGCGGUAAGACGCACUGGAGGACCGAACCAGGGCACGUUGAAAAGUGCUUGGAUGACUUGUGGGUAGCGGAGAAAUUCCAAACGAACUUGGAGAUAGCUGGUUCUCUCCGAAAUAGCUUUAGGGCUAGCGUCGACAUUAGAGAUUCUUGGAGGUAGAGCACUGUUUGGGUGAGGGGUCCAUCCCGGAUUACCAAUCUCAGAUAAACUCCGAAUGCCAAUGAAUUAUGGUCGGCAGUCAGACUGCGAGUGCUAAGAUCCGUAGUCGAAAGGGAAACAGCCCAGACCACCAGCUAAGGUCCCAAAAUAAUUGUUAAGUGGAAAAGGAUGUGGGGUUGCACAGACAACUAGGAUGUUAGCUUAGGAGCAGCUAUUCAUUCAAAGAGUGCGUAAUAGCUCACUAGUCGAGUGACCCUGCGCCGAAAAUGUACCGGGGCUAAAACAAUUUACCGAAGCUGUGGAUACCUUUAUAGGUAUGGUAGGAGAGCGUUCUAUGUGUGAUGAAGGUAUACCGUGAGGAGUGCUGGAACGCAUAGAAGUGAGAAUGCCGGUAUGAGUAGCGAAAGACAGGUGAGAAUCCUGUCCACCGUAAGACUAAGGUUUCCAGGGGAAGGCUCGUCCGCCCUGGGUUAGUCGGGACCUAAGGAGAGACCGAAAGGUGUAUCCGAUGGACAACAGGUUGAUAUUCCUGUACUAGAGUAUGUAGUGAUGGAGGGACGCAGUAGGCUAACUAAAGCAGACGAUUGGAAGAGUCUGUCUAAGCAGUGAGGUGUGAAUUGAGUCAAAUGCUUAAUUCUAUAACAUUGAGCUGUGAUGGGGAGCGAAGUUUAGUAGCGAAGUUAGUGACGUCACACUGCCAAGAAAAGCUUCUAGCGUUUAAACAUACUCUACCCGUACCGCAAACCGACACAGGUAGUCGAGGCGAGUAGCCUCAGGUGAGCGAGAGAACUCUCGUUAAGGAACUCGGCAAAAUGACCCCGUAACUUCGGGAGAAGGGGUGCUGACUUAAAGUCAGCCGCAGUGAAUAGGCCCAAGCAACUGUUUAUCAAAAACACAGCUCUCUGCUAAAUCGUAAGAUGAUGUAUAGGGGGUGACGCCUGCCCGGUGCUGGAAGGUUAAGAGGAGUGCUUAGCGUAAGCGAAGGUAUGAAUUGAAGCCCCAGUAAACGGCGGCCGUAACUAUAACGGUCCUAAGGUAGCGAAAUUCCUUGUCGGGUAAGUUCCGACCCGCACGAAAGGCGUAAUGAUUUGGGCACUGUCUCAACGAGAGACUCGGUGAAAUUUUAGUACCUGUGAAGAUGCAGGUUACCCGCGACAGGACGGAAAGACCCCAUGGAGCUUUACUGCAGUUUGAUAUUGAGUGUCUGUACCACAUGUACAGGAUAGGUAGGAGUCUAAGAGAUCGGGACGCCAGUUUCGAAGGAGACGCUGUUGGGAUACUACCCUUGUGUUAUGGCCACUCUAACCCAGAUAGGUGAUCCCUAUCGGAGACAGUGUCUGACGGGCAGUUUGACUGGGGCGGUCGCCUCCUAAAAGGUAACGGAGGCGCCCAAAGGUUCCCUCAGAAUGGUUGGAAAUCAUUCGCAGAGUGUAAAGGUAUAAGGGAGCUUGACUGCGAGAGCUACAACUCGAGCAGGGACGAAAGUCGGGCUUAGUGAUCCGGUGGUUCCGUAUGGAAGGGCCAUCGCUCAACGGAUAAAAGCUACCCUGGGGAUAACAGGCUUAUCUCCCCCAAGAGUUCACAUCGACGGGGAGGUUUGGCACCUCGAUGUCGGCUCGUCGCAUCCUGGGGCUGUAGUCGGUCCCAAGGGUUGGGCUGUUCGCCCAUUAAAGCGGCACGCGAGCUGGGUUCAGAACGUCGUGAGACAGUUCGGUCCCUAUCCGUCGCGGGCGUAGGAAAUUUGAGAGGAUCUGCUCCUAGUACGAGAGGACCAGAGUGGACUUACCGCUGGUGUACCAGUUGUCUUGCCAAAGGCAUCGCUGGGUAGCUAUGUAGGGAAGGGAUAAACGCUGAAAGCAUCUAAGUGUGAAACCCACCUCAAGAUGAGAUUUCCCAUGAUUAUAUAUCAGUAAGAGCCCUGAGAGAUGAUCAGGUAGAUAGGUUAGAAGUGGAAGUGUGGCGACACAUGUAGCGGACUAAUACUAAUAGCUCGAGGACUUAUCCAA